rnacentral:rRNA from 1 species
AAAUUGAAGAGUUUGAUCAUGGCUCAGAUUGAACGCUGGCGGCAGGCCUAACACAUGCAAGUCGAACGGUAACAGGAAGCAGCUUGCUGCUUUGCUGACGAGUGGCGGACGGGUGAGUAAUGUCUGGGAAACUGCCUGAUGGAGGGGGAUAACUACUGGAAACGGUGGCUAAUACCGCAUAACGUCGCAAGACCAAAGAGGGGGACCUUCGGGCCUCUUGCCAUCAGAUGUGCCCAGAUGGGAUUAGCUAGUUGGUGAGGUAACGGCUCACCAAGGCGACGAUCCCUAGCUGGUCUGAGAGGAUGACCAGCCACACUGGAACUGAGACACGGUCCAGACUCCUACGGGAGGCAGCAGUGGGGAAUAUUGCACAAUGGGCGCAAGCCUGAUGCAGCCAUGCCGCGUGUAUGAAGAAGGCCUUCGGGUUGUAAAGUACUUUCAGCGGGGAGGAAGGUGUUGUGGUUAAUAACCGCAGCAAUUGACGUUACCCGCAGAAGAAGCACCGGCUAACUCCGUGCCAGCAGCCGCGGUAAUACGGAGGGUGCAAGCGUUAAUCGGAAUUACUGGGCGUAAAGCGCACGCAGGCGGUCUGUCAAGUCGGAUGUGAAAUCCCCGGGCUCAACCUGGGAACUGCAUUCGAAACUGGCAGGCUUGAGUCUUGUAGAGGGGGGUAGAAUUCCAGGUGUAGCGGUGAAAUGCGUAGAGAUCUGGAGGAAUACCGGUGGCGAAGGCGGCCCCCUGGACAAAGACUGACGCUCAGGUGCGAAAGCGUGGGGAGCAAACAGGAUUAGAUACCCUGGUAGUCCACGCCGUAAACGAUGUCUACUUGGAGGUUGUGCCCUUGAGGCGUGGCUUCCGGAGCUAACGCGUUAAGUAGACCGCCUGGGGAGUACGGCCGCAAGGUUAAAACUCAAAUGAAUUGACGGGGGCCCGCACAAGCGGUGGAGCAUGUGGUUUAAUUCGAUGCAACGCGAAGAACCUUACCUGGUCUUGACAUCCACGGAAGUUUUCAGAGAUGAGAAUGUGCCUUCGGGAACCGUGAGACAGGUGCUGCAUGGCUGUCGUCAGCUCGUGUUGUGAAAUGUUGGGUUAAGUCCCGCAACGAGCGCAACCCUUAUCCUUUGUUGCCAGCGAUUAGGUCGGGAACUCAAAGGAGACUGCCAGUGAUAAACUGGAGGAAGGUGGGGAUGACGUCAAGUCAUCAUGGCCCUUACGACCAGGGCUACACACGUGCUACAAUGGCGCAUACAAAGAGAAGCGACCUCGCGAGAGCAAGCGGACCUCAUAAAGUGCGUCGUAGUCCGGAUUGGAGUCUGCAACUCGACUCCAUGAAGUCGGAAUCGCUAGUAAUCGUGGAUCAGAAUGCCACGGUGAAUACGUUCCCGGGCCUUGUACACACCGCCCGUCACACCAUGGGAGUGGGUUGCAAAAGAAGUAGGUAGCUUAACCUUCGGGAGGGCGCUUACCACUUUGUGAUUCAUGACUGGGGUGAAGUCGUAACAAGGUAACCGUAGGGGAACCUGCGGUUGGAUCACCUCCUU